rnacentral:rRNA from 1 species
AUACGGAGGAUCCGAGCGUUAUCCGGAUUUAUUGGGCUUAAAGGGAGCGUAGGUGGAUUGUUAAGUCAGUUGUGAAAGUUUGCGGCUCAACCGUAAAAUUGCAGUUGAAACUGGGAGUCUUGAGUACAGUAGAGGUGGGUGGAAUUCGUGGUGUAGCGGUGAAAUGCUUAGAUAUCACGAAGAACUCCGAUUGCGAAGGCAGCUCACUAGACUGUUACUGACACUGAUGCUCGAAAGUGUGGGUAUCAAACAGGAUUAGAUACCCUGGUAGUCCACACAGUAAACGAUGAAUACUCGCUGUUUGCGAUAUACAGUAAGCGGCCAAGCGAAAGCAUUAAGUAUUCCACCUGGGGAGUACGCCGGCAACGGUGAAACUCAAAUGAAUUGACGGGG